rnacentral:rRNA from 1 species
CUACGGGAGGCAGCAGUGGGGAAUAUUGGACAAUGGACCAAAAGUCUGAUCCAGCAAUUCUGUGUGUUUGAUGAAGGCCUUCGGGUUGUAAAGAACUUUAAGUAGGGAAGAAGAAAGUGACGGUACCUACAGAAUAAGCGACGGCUAAAUACGUGCCAGCAGCCGCGGUAAUACGUAUGUCGCAAGCGUUAUCCGGAAUUAUUGGGCAUAAAGCGCGUCUAGGCGGUUGACUAAGUCUGAUGUGAAAAUGCGGGGCUCAACUCCGUAUUGCGUUGGAAACUGGUAGACUAGAGUAUUGGAGAGGUAGGCGGAACUACAAGUGUAGAGGUGAAAUUCGUAGAUAUUUGUAGGAAUGCCAAUGACGAAGGUAGCUUACUGGACAAAUACUGACGCUGAAGCGCGAAAGCUAGGGGAGCAAACAGGAUUAGAUACCCCCGUAGUC